GAAGUAAGUUAUUCAAGAAUAAGCUUCUAACUUAAUUCUUAAGCAAUGAAAUUUUGUUUUUACUUCU
rnacentral:tRNA from 1 species